CUUCUCCGGUGGUCACUUGACUUCUAAAUGAGAUUGUUUGAAUGCUCAGCGAGGACGAGCUUGCUGGUUCCACAUCUCACAAGGAGGAGGUCGAUGGGAUAAUCUCCAAUGGUGUGGAGCUCCAUCACUUCUGCUAAAUGGCUCACUGAGCUGUUGUUUCUGCAGCCUGUGACGUCGACCGAGAUUCUUCGCUGUUUUGGUCUCUUGAUUGAGCGCGAGAU